CCUACGGGAGGCAGCAGUGAGGAAUAUUGCACAAUGGAGGAAACUCUGAUGCAGCAACGCCGCGUGGAGGAUGACGCAUUUCGGUGUGUAAACUCCUUUUAAGAGGGAAGAUAAUGACGGUACCUCUUGAAUAAGCACCGGCUAACUCCGUGCCAGCAGCCGCGGUAAU
rnacentral:rRNA from 1 species